rnacentral:lncRNA from 2 species
AAAAAAAUUCCCUCAUGCUUCAGCCCGCCGCCGCCACCGCGCCUCUCGUGCGGGCCCACCGCCGCCACUCCGCUCGCGCGGCUGCGCUCACGACUCCCCUACCCCGCCGCCACCUCGGAUCGCCUGUGGCCGCCGCCUCCCGCCAGAGCCGUCGUCGUCGUUGCCGAGGGAAGCGGGCCGCAUCGCCGCCGCCGCUCUAGGCCGCCGCCUCCUACACGCCCGCCGCUUCCCACCGCCUCCGCCGACGCCUUGACCAAAAUUGUCCCUCACAUCUCCCGUUCUCUUAGGGCUGGCAAUCUCUGCUCCGCCGCCAUUGCAUCGGAGGAAGGAGACCGCCGCUGGUCCGGCCCGCGUGGAGGCACUUUUCUGCUUUGCCGCCUUGGCGUUGUUUCCGGGCAGGAGACCCCACAGCUCAGGCACUCCGGCUCCGGCGAUUCGGCCCCAUCCCCUGGCAAACAAAGCGGCGGCGUUGCUUCGAGAAGGACAGGCACCGUGGUGUCCGAGCGGCAUGGAGGCCAAGUUGUGAGACACCCACGGACUGCUUCAUCAGUUCACAUGCCUGAGCAAGGUCCUGGAUGGCGAGAUCCACCAGCUAAUCACCAAAGGCAGCUUUUGCAUCAUGCAGCUGCUGCAGGCCACGAUGGGAUUGGAGAACUCCUAAUCUUGUUCACACAGAGUUCAAGCAGCACCUAGAAUUGACAUGGGCAGGCAAUUCAUUGGUGAUGGAGAAGAACUGCAUGCGGCGCUGCCUACACUGACUCACCUUAAUGAAAAUGACAAUUCGAUUUAUUAUAUGGUGGUUGCAGAAUUAUCACCUCACUUACAUGAUGGACCAUUUCUGUCCAAUUAACUACAGGCACUCAACUUUUGUACUAUGAUCUCUGAACAAAGAAAUUUUUUGAAGGGGGACCAUGUUUCUGAAAUUGACCAUCUGGAAAAAAGUUCUGACAUUGCUUUCUAGGAUCAAUAGUCAAUUGCUACUAAAUUGCAGGGCCUGACGUUGAUAUAUACAACUGAAGAGAAAUAUGGUUAUUGCUGAUAUAUACAAUUUAUUUUUUAAACUCUCUCGCUGAUUUGGUUUCAUUUCAUUAAGGUAGAUAAAUUUAUUCCAAAGCAAAAUUCUACCUUCCCCAUCACUGCCACUCUCCAUCAUGAUUGACCUGCUCUCCGCUCUCUCCAAGAAUUAUCACCCCACUUAUCUGGUUAGGCGGAUCUACCACCGGCGGGCGAUGGCAAUGGUAGGAGCAGCGGCUACGGUGAGCUUGGGCAGCGCUGAUCCCGUCGCCUCUCCUCCCUCUCUCCGUUGCCCGGAGGGCAUGGGCUG